ACUCCUACGGGAGGCAGCAGUGGGGAAUAUUGGACAAUGGGCGCAAGCCUGAUCCAGCCAUGCCGCGUGAGUGAUGAAGGCCCUAGGGUUGUAAAGCUCUUUCACCGGUGAAGAUAAUGACGGUAACCGGAGAAGAAGCCCCGACUAACUUCGUGCCAGCAGCCGCGGUAAUACGAAGGGGGCUAGCGUUGUUCGGAUUUACUGGGCGUAAAGCGCACGUAGGCGGACUAUUAAGUCAGGGGUGAAAUCCCGGGGCUCAACCCCGGAACUGCCUUUGAUACUGGUAGUCUUGAGUUCGAGAGAGGUGAGUGGAAUUCCGAGUGUAGAGGUGAAAUUCGUAGAUAUUCGGAGGAACACCAGUGGCGAAGGCGGCUCACUGGCUCGAUACUGACGCUGAGGUGCGAAAGCGUGGGGAGCAAACAGGAUUAGAAACCCCGGUAGUCCCAUGA
rnacentral:rRNA from 1 species